GCCGCAGAGCCCGCGGACGCCGCCAGCGGCCACAACGCGCUGCAGCCCGGCACCGGGCCCAACGUAUGUCGGUCGCGCUAUAGCUACUGCUGUCCGGGUUGGAAGCUCAAGCCGGGUACUGCUCUCUGCAUCAUACCGGUGUGCACGCGGCCGUGCUCGUCGGGCCGCUGCAUCAAGCCCAACAUCUGCCUGUGCGACGGCGGCACCGUCGCCUCCAGCUGCCCG